AUUUGGCCAGCUUGCAAAGCUGACCAUUUCCAAAGGAUUUAGCUAUGUUAGAAAAAGUAUUUUAAUGACAUUACCAUACAGAAGCUGGAACAUAACCUCAAAUACUGUGGAGGUGUCUUUUCUCUCUAAUAGCACAGCCCAAUCCUGGCUGUGUGUGGCACCACUCCAGCCAUCAAUGAGCUGAGCAUGCCCUGGAGGGGUUGGCUGGAUGUGGGUCAGUUGAAGAUGCUUGGGAGAAGUAAAGUCCUUCCCCUCUCAUAUAGCAGUGUAGAUAUAGCUCCAUGCUGAGCUCAGGGAAGCAGUGUGUGCUCAGAAACAUCAGGCUCCCUUUGACGUAUGCGGGCUGGUGUUGCAAGGGACUGCACUGGAAGGGCAAGCUUUAGAGAUCAUUUCUUUCCGAGCUCCAAAUGUCUGAGUCUGUACAGAGUCGGUGACAAUCAGCGUGAAUCCAUUUGAGAUUUGAAAGCACGUUCCUUCAGCCUAAAAGUAGAUGUGUGAAGUUGUUUUUCUUCCUCAACUUUUGUAUUUAUCUCCUGCUGCAGAUGGGUGCUAAAACAAAAGGUGCACUGCCGCCACCACCUCUUUGCUGGCCAUAGGUUUGUCGCAGUGUGGCCUUGCUGGAGACAUCAGCUGGUCAAACAGGGAAAGAUUUAAGUAAGUCUGAAGGAAACAACCUUUUAUCCAAACAUGGAGUUGGUGAGCAAACACAGCCCGUGGGCUUCUGGGCAUCCUGAAAGAGGAUUAUUAGCUCCCCUGCUGCACGGUUUCUUGGAGCUUUUUUGCCCCACAGUUAAGAUUCCCCACGCAGAUUCACACCAUACCCCUGCAGACCGCGAGUUAUCGAAGCUCAUACAGCACAUCCAAUCAACCUGAAAGGCUGGCUGAGUUACCCGCAUCACUGCUUCACUUCAGUGUUUCUCACACCUUCGUCCUGAAGGAAGGACACAAAGAUGUUACUCUGAUUGUCUUUGGUUUCUUCAGUUUUUCAUCCCCCUUCGAGUUGCACAGGCACCGAAGUAAAGGUGAGCCCACCUGCCAGUCUCUGGGACCCAAGUUUGGCUGUGUUUGGCUGCUUCCAUCAUACUCCACACAACGAAAUUAGGUCAUGACUUUUUGCCUCCCAGAGCUCCUCUAUGCACUGACUGGAGGCACCUUGAAGCUUAGCACAGAAUACCACGCCGAAGCCUUAGGAAUGAAAAGCAAAUAACAGCCACGGUUCGGUAGCGAAGCAGCGCUCACUUCUGUAAUUUCUGACCUUUCAUUUUAGACGUGCGCUUACAAAACGAAGCUGUCAGAAUCCCAUUUUCCUGCUCCAAGUGAAAGGCUAUUGUCUGGAUCGCAGCCUCCUCCAGCCCUCCUCCACGCAUGGCUCCGCGUUGUUUUCCUCCGUAGCUCAGGAGUUAUGAAAGCUUUUAGCCAAAGUGGCAUUUCCUCCUCCUCCGCUCUGCUGUUGUCACAGCUGAUUUUAUAGAACAAAUCUAAUUUUACCUUCAGCAAGCUUUGUUGGUGUUUGUUUUUAACAGCAACUCUUCCACUGAUAGCAAAAAUGUUCUUUUACACCAAGGGUUCAUUUCUGUGGAGAAAAAGAUCCUUUUGCCUGGCUUUCUCUGUAGCCCACAUUUUCCUAAAAAUUGGAGUAGGUCUUCAAUUUAUAUGAAUACUUUGAACCUCAUAUUUACCUAGGGCAUUAAGUGUAUCA
ensembl:lncRNA